GGGUGCGAUCAUACCAGUGUUAAUGCACCAAAUCCCAUCAGAAGUCCACAGUUAAGUGCGCUUGGGCUAGAGUAGUACUAGGAUAGGUGACCUCCUGGGAAGUCCUAGUGUUGGACACU
rnacentral:rRNA from 1 species